rnacentral:rRNA from 1 species
AUUGAACGCUGGCGGCAGGCCUAACACAUGCAAGUCGAACGAGUGGCGGACGGGUGAGUAAUGUCUGGGAAACUGCCCGAUGGAGGGGGAUAACUACUGGAAACGGUAGCUAAUACCGCAUACCAUCGGAUGUGCCCAGGUGGGAUUAGAUUGUAGGUGAGGUAACGGCCCACCUAGGCGACGAGCCCUAGCUGGUCUGCGAGGAUGACCAGCCACACUGGAACAGAGACACGGUCCAGACUCCUACGGGAGGCAGCAGUGGGGAAUAUUGCACAAGGGGCGCAAGCCUGAUGCAGCCAUGCCGCGUGUAUGAAGAAGGCCUUCGGGUUGUAAAGUACUUUCAGCGGGGAGGCGUUACCCGAAGAGGAAGCCCCGGCUAACUCCGUGCCAGCAGCCGCGGUAAUAC